rnacentral:rRNA from 1 species
CCCUUAGAUGUUCUGGGCCGCACGCGCGCUACACUGAUGCAUUCAACGAGUCUAAAACCUGCUCUGAUAGGGGUGGGUAAUCUUUUGAAUGUGCAUCGUGAUUGGGAUAGAUGAUUGCAAUUUUUCAUCUUCAACGAGGAAUGCCUAGUAAACGCAAGUCAUCAGCUUGCAUUGAUUACGUCCCUGCCCUUUGUACACGCCGCCCGUCGCUCCUACCGAUUGAAUGAUCCGAUGAAUAUCAUGGAUUGAGGAUGCAAGCAGGUUCGCCUGUCUUCAUCUUCGAGAAGUGAAGUAAAUCUUAUCAUUUAGAGGAAGGAGAGGUCGUAACA